rnacentral:rRNA from 1 species
AACGAACGCUGGCGGCAAGCUUAACACAUGCAAGUCGAACGCUCGUAGCAAUACAGGAGUGGCAGACGGGUGAGUAACGCGUGGGAACAUACCCUUUAGUUCGGAAUAACAGAGAGAAAUUUCAGCUAAUACCGGAUGUGCCCUUCGGGGGAAGGAUUUAUCGCCCAAGUAUUGGCCCGCAUCCGAUUGGCUAGGUGGUGAGGUAAGGGCCAACCAAGGCGAUGAUCAGUAGCUGGUCUGGGAGGAUGAUCAGCUACACUGGGACUGAGACACGGCCCAGACUCGUACGGGAGGCAGCAGUGGGGAAUAUUGGACAAUGGGGGCAACCCUGAUCCAGCCAUGCCGCGUGAGUGAGGAAGGCCUUAGGGUUGUAAAGCUCUUUCGCUAGGGAAGAUAAUGACGGUACCUAGAGAAGAAGCCCCGGCUAACUUCGUGCCAGCAGCCGCAGUAA